UAGUAAGGCGUCUGAAAAGGUCCGACUC
rnacentral:sRNA from 1 species